rnacentral:rRNA from 1 species
AUGAACGCUGGCGGCGUGCCUAAUACAUGCAAGUCGAGCGAACAGACGAGGAGCUUGCUCCUCUGACGUUAGCGGCGGACGGGUGAGUAACACGUGGAUAACCUACCUAUAAGACUGGGAAAACUUCGGGAAACCGGAGCUAAUACCGGAUAAUAUAUUGAACCGCAUGGCUCAAUAGUAAAAGACGGUUUUGCUGUCACUUAUAGAUGGAUCCGCGCCGCAUUAGCUAGUUGGUAAGGUAACGGCUUACCAAGGCAACGAUGCGUAGCCGACCUGAGAGGGUGAUCGGCCACACUGGAACUGAGACACGGUCCAGACUCCUACGGGAGGCAGCAGUAGGGAAUCUUCCGCAAUGGGCGAAAGCCUGACGGAGCAACGCCGCGUGAGUGAUGAAGGUCUUCGGAUCGUAAAACUCUGUUAUUAGGGAAGAACAAAUGUGUAAGUAACUAUGCACGUCUUGACGGUACCUAAUCAGAAAGCCACGGCUAACUACGUG